UACGUAGGGGGCAAGCGUUGUCCGGAUUUAUUGGGCGUAAAGAGCGUGUAGGCGGCCUUACAGGUCAGCUGUGAAAACUCGAGGCUCAACCUCGAGACGUCGGUUGAAACCGUAAGGCUAGAGUCCGGAAGAGGAGAGUGGAAUUCCUGGUGUAGCGGUGAAAUGCGCAGAUAUCAGGAAGAACACCCGUGGCGAAAGCGGCUCUCUGGAACGGUACUGACGCUGAGAGCGAAAAGCGUGGGGGGAGCGAAACAGGG
rnacentral:rRNA from 1 species